UACGUAGGGGGCGAGCGUUGUCCGGAGUUACUGGGCGUAAAGGGCAUGCAGGCGGUCGGACGCGUUUUGUGUGACAGCGGGUGGCUUAACUACCCGAGUAUGCGAAAGACGGUUCGACUUGAGGGCUCGAGAGGGACACGGAAUUCCGGGUGGAGUGGUGAAAUGCGUAGAGAUCCGGAGGAACACCGAAGGCGAAGGCAGUGUCCUGGCGAGCGACUGACGCUGAGGUGCGAAAGCCAGGGGAG
rnacentral:rRNA from 1 species